rnacentral:rRNA from 1 species
GUAGCGGGUGAAAUGCGUAGAGAUGUGGAGGAAACACCAGUGGCGAAGGCGGCUUUUUUGGCCCUGUAACUGACGCUGAGGCGCGAAAGCGUGGGGAGCAAACAGGAUUAGAUACCCCUGGUAGUCCACGCCGUAAACGAUGAGUGCUAGGUGUUGGGGGGUUCCACCCUCAGUGCUGAAGUUAACACAUUAAGCACUCCGCCUGGGGAGUACGACCGCAAGGUUGAAACUCAAAGGAAUUGACGGGGGCCCGCACAAGCAGUGGAGCAUGUGGUUUAAUUCGAAGCAACGCGAAGAACCUUACCAGGUCUUGACAUCCUCUGACCACUCUAGAGAUAGAGCUUUCCCCUUCGGGGGACAGAGUGACAGGUGGUGCAUGGUUGUCGUCAGCUCGUGUCGUGAGAUGUUGGGUUAAGUCCCGCAACGAGCGCAACCCUUGACCUUAGUUGCCAGCAUUCAGUUGGGCACUCUAAGGUGACUGCCGGUGACAAACCGGAGGAAGGUGGGGAUGACGUCAAAUCAUCAUGCCCCUUAUGACCUGGGCUACACACGUGCUACAAUGGAUGGUACAAAGGGUUGCGAAGCCGCGAGGCCAAGCCAAUCCCAAAAAGCCAUUCUCAGUUCGGAUUGUAGGCUGCAACUCGCCUACAUGAAGCCGGAAUUGCUAGUAAUCGCGGAUCAGCAUGCCGCGGUGAAUACGUUCCCGGGCCUUGUACACACCGCCCGUCACACCACGAGAGUUUGUAACACCCGAA